rnacentral:rRNA from 1 species
GACGAGGGGUCCUAGCGUUGUUCGGAAUCACUGGGCUUAAAGCGUGUGUAGGCGGACGCCUAAGUACCUUGUGAAAUCCCACGGCUCACCCGUGGAACCGCUGGGUAUACUGGGCGUCUUGGGCCAUUCAGGGGCAACUGGAACAAGCGGUGGAGCGGUGAAAUGCGUAGAUAUCGCUUGGAACGCCAACGGUGAAAACAGGUUGCUGGGGGUGUGCUGACGCUGAGACACGAAAGCCAGGGGAGCGAACGGG